CAUUUUAUCUAUAGUUUUGUAGUUUCUGAUACAAAACUCAGAGACACAGGAUGGCGGGGUGGCUACUCUGUCAAGCACUGUGCUAAAUGUUUUGCAUGUAUAUUAGUACAAAUAAUAGCCCUGGCAAACUCGGCUGGGCAUUUUAUCCUCCUUACUGCAGAUAAUUAAAUUGUUCAAGGUCGUGCAGUGCCAUAAGUCAGCUCUGAUACUCUCUGCUUUGGGAAACCCAAAGUCAAGGACUUUUACUAAUAAAACGCUUGGACGUAUUAUUAGAUUAAUCCUUGUUCCUAAGAGUUUGUAAAGGGCAACCUCCUACUUUAUAGAAGUUGUGCUGAAGUUAAAGGAUUAAAGAAAAAAAAAAAAGGCUGUGAAAGGCCUCUAGACUUGGUAUAAAUCAAAAAGAAAAGUUCCGCCUUCACCACAAGUGAACAUGCUUAUUGGCUGGGAUGGACAGGCUGACUCAUUUCUUUUUUGCCGUGGCAGAGGGCCGCACCCAAGCAUUCCAAAACCCUCUGCUGUCGGCCACACCCGCCUCGAUGCUGGAGCCUCACAGCUGGGGUUUGGCGUCCCGAUUCACAGCUGCCUUCCAAGAGCGGAUUUACUAGUCUGCCAGAAGCGCCCAUUCCCGCCGCGGUCUUUGCCGGCGAGCGGGAGAGGACUGUGCGGACCCGGCGCAGCUGACCGCGCUGGCCUGUCUGCUUCCGCUGGAGCAGGCAGCGCGCACGCAAAUUUGGCACUCCUGAAAGCUUCCCGGAGGCUGCCUCAGAGGGGAGACUGUAUAUAGUGGGAUUCCUCUGUCAUGGGAGCGACACAUGAUCAGGCUGUGGAAUAAACAUCCAUGGAACUGCCACUGCUAUUUUAUGGUAAGAAAGUGAUUUCCAGCAUA
rnacentral:lncRNA from 1 species